rnacentral:rRNA from 1 species
UGAGUCGACCCCUAAGGCGAGGCCGAAAGGCGUAGUCGAUGGGAAACAGGUUAAUAUUCCUGUACUUGGUGUUACUGCGAAGGGGGGACGGAGAAGGCUAUGUUAGCCGGGCGACGGUUGUCCCGGUUUAAGCAUGUAGGCGGAGAUUCCAGGUAAAUCCGGAGUCUUGCUAACGCUGAGGUGUGAUGACGAGGCACUACGGUGCUGAAGUAACAAAUGCCCUGCUUCCAGGAAAAGCCUCUAAGCAUCAGGUAACACAAAAUCGUACCCCAAACCGACACAGGUGGUCAGGUAGAGAAUACCAAGGCGCUUGAGAGAACUCGGGUGAAGGAACUAGGCAAAAUGGUGCCGUAACUUCGGGAGAAGGCACGCUGAUAUGUAGGUGAAGUGAUUUACUCAUGGAGCUGAAAUCAGUCGAAGAUACCAGCUGGCUGCAACUGUUUAUUAAAAACACAGCACUGUGCAAACACGAAAGUGGACGUAUACGGUGUGACGCCUGCCCGGUGCCGGAAGGUUAAUUGAUGGGGUUAUCCGUAAGGAGAAGCUCUUGAUCGAAGCCCCGGUAAACGGCGGCCGUAACUAUAACGGUCCUAAGGUAGCGAAAUUCCUUGUCGGGUAAGUUCCGACCUGCACGAAUGGCGUAAUGAUGGCCAGGCUGUCUCCACCCGAGACUCAGUGAAAUUGAACUCGCUGUGAAGAUGCAGUGUACCCGCGGCAAGACGGAAAGACCCCGUGAACCUUUACUAUAGCUUGACACUGAACACUGGUCCUUGAUGUGUAGGAUAGGUGGGAGGCUUUGAAGUGUGGACGCCAGUCUGCAUGGAGCCAACCUUGAAAUACCACCCUUUAAUGGCUGGUGUUCUAACGUAGACCCGUAAUCCGGGUUGCGGACAGUGUCUGGUGGGUAGUUUGACUGGGGCGGUCUCCUCCUAAAGAGUAACGGAGGAGCACGAAGGUUAGCUAAUCCUGGUCGGACAUCAGGAGGUUAGUGCAAAGGCAUAAGCUAGCUUGACUGCGAGAGUGACGGCUCGAGCAGGUGCGAAAGCAGGUCUUAGUGAUCCGGUGGUUCUGAAUGGAAGGGCCAUCGCUCAACGGAUAAAAGGUACUCCGGGGAUAACAGGCUGAUACCGCCCAAGAGUUCAUAUCGACGGCGGUGUUUGGCACCUCGAUGUCGGCUCAUCACAUCCUGGGGCUGAAGUAGGUCCCAAGGGUAUGGCUGUUCGCCAUUUAAAGUGGUACGCGAGCUGGGUUUAGAACGUCGUGAGACAGUUCGGUCCCUAUCUGCCGUGGGCGCUGGAGAAUUGAGGGGGGCUGCUCCUAGUACGAGAGGACCGGAGUGGACGCAUCACUGGUGUUCGGGUUGUCAUGCCAAUGGCAUUGCCCGGUAGCUAAAUGCGGAAGAGAUAAGUGCUGAAAGCAUCUAAGCACGAAACUUGCCCCGAGAUGAGUUCUCCCUGACCCUUUAAGGGUCCUGAAGGAACGUUGAAGACGACGACGUUGAUAGGUCGGGUGUGUAAGCGUAGCGAUACGUUGAGCUAACCGAUACUAAUGAACCGUGAGGCUUAACCUU